rnacentral:rRNA from 1 species
GACGAACGUUGGCGGCGUGCUUAAUACAUGCAAGUCAACUGAAGCAUCGGUAGCAAUACUGGUGUGGAGGUGGCGCACGGGUGAGUAACACGUAGGUAAUCUGCCUAUAGGACUGACAUAACUCCGGGAAACCGGUGCUAAUAUCAGAUGAUGCAGCGGCUCGACAUCGAGACAGUUGUUAAACCUUCGGGGCCUAUAGAUGAGCCUGCGUCUGAUUAGCUAGUUGGCGGGGUAACAGCCCACCAAGGCAACGAUCAGUAGCUGGUCUGAGAGGAUGAUCAGCCACACUGGAACUGAGAUACGGUCCAGACUCCUACGGGAGGCUG